UAAGGAAUAUUGGUCAAUGGACGCAAGUCUGAACCAGCCAUGCCGCGUGGAGGAUGAAGGUCCUCUGGAUUGUAAACUUCUUUUAUCGGAGAAGAAACCCUUAUAUUCUUAUGAGGUUGACGGUACCCGAUGAAUAAGCACCGGCUAACUCCGUGCCAGCAGCCGCGGUAAUACGGAGGGUGCAAGCGUUAUCCGGAUUCACUGGGUUUAAAGGGUGCGUAGGUGGGAUGGUAAGUCAGUGGUGAAAUCUCCAAGCUUAACUUGGAAACUGCCGUUGAUACUAUCAUUCUUGAAUAUUGUGGGGGUAAGCGGAAUAUGUCAUGUAGCGGUGAAAUGCUUAGAUAUGACAUAGAACACCGAUAGCGAAGGCAGCUUGCUACACAAUUAUUGACACUGAGGCACGAAAGCGUGGGGAUCAAACAGGAUUAGAUACCCUGGUAGUCCACGCCCUAAACGAUGGAUACUCGACAUACGCGAUACACAGUGUGUGUCUGAGCGAAAGCAUUAAGUAUCCCACCUGGGAAGUACGACCGCAAGGUUGA
rnacentral:rRNA from 1 species